ACCAGAAGUUGACUGAAGCUGCCUUUAGACAGGAAGCAUGGGUACAGCGUCCAGCUGCUUCCACCCUGGAAGCAGGUCUGAGGCCAGGGGUCCUGGAUUCUCAGUGGCCCCAGACUGUUGGAUUACAGACAACACCCUCCUCGCCCCCUGCUUUUCCUGACUCUCCUCUCCUGAUGGAGGCGAAGGCAUCCCCUCAGCCACGCACUCCUCAAAGCAGCUGCUCCGCCUGAUACACCUGCCCGGGAUGUGUGCACCUCGAAUAAGCUGAGCAACUGGCCAUCCUUCCUAUCUUCCAGGGAACAUGGCAUUUCUCCGAGCGCGUACAAAGAUUACUCACCAAGAGAGACAGACUGGGCUUGGCUCCCACCUCAGAAACCCCUGCUGUCUGCCUUGCUGAGGCCCUGAGUUGAUCCCGAGACUCUCAGCCUUGGAACUGCCACUGAUUACAUUGAAAUCACAAGAUCUUGCUUGGGAAAGUCAUGCCACUAACUCAGGGGUCGCAAGUCCAGAUGCCUUCAGAGUCCAGACUUCAAGAAUUCACCAGAGAUGAAAAUUAAAAUCCCAAGAAAUGAAAUGAAGGUGUAACGAUCGAAGUUUUUAAAAACUGUUGAUGGAUGUUAACAGGCAAGGACAGAGAGUAGCCUCUGCCUCCUCGUUUUCUUUGGAAUGAUCCCGCGGGUGGGGCAGUCUGCCACAGCUUCCUGCAUUUUUAAAUUAUGAGAGGCUAUGGAGGACAACAGCAUCCAUGUGACACUCAGCCACCUCCCAAGAAACCCACAAGGGUGGCUGUGAUUGCAUUAGGAUGACCAUGGUUUCUGGAAGGUCAUGUACACAAGGCCAUGCAGGAAUAUUGAUGCUCUUAAGACACGUUUUGACUUAGUGCCUACUGCUGUGUCAGCCACACUCUGAUACCCCUAAAGGAUAUACAGAAAAUAAGGGAAUGAUGUUUUGCUGGAGGAUGAAAGACCCAGGCAAGGCGCAUCUGUGUGCAGUGGACCUCAUCCCAAAGGGGUCAGAAGACCCAGGUUCCAUUUACAGGGAGGUUUGUCUUAGGGGAAAAUAAAUACUUGUUCAGUAUUCUAUUAGGUUCUUUUAAGAGAAUUGGGGAGUUUUCUAUCAGUCUCAAGUGCUUUGACUUCCCUGUGAAAGCUGCAGUGUGCCAACUGGCCAAAUAUUCUCAUUUCUUCCAGGUUUUUUUCUCCCAGGAAAGAGGAAAGCUUCUUGGUUUUCUGGAAUUUAGGACUGGCUUUGUUGUGCCAUUCAUUGCAGUGUUUUCUCUAGGGGAGAAUGGGGAGUGGGAAUGGGGGCAGCAGCCUCAUGAACAGCCUGAAGAUGGGGGUUCAGCAAGUCUGUAGGUCAUCCCCAAGGGACAUCUCUUAGCUGUGGGGACCCAGUAGACAUGGGAGGUCCACACUGAUGCCAGGAGUCUGCAAGAGCUCUUGAAGUAGGGGUUCUGGGUUAUGAUUUUUGUCCUAUAUGUAGAAAGCAGACUUUAUUUACAAAGACUUGUAUUAAGUCAACUCAUUAAUCCCUAGGAGGGAACUAAAAAAAAAAAUCAAUUAAAAAAAUCACCAGGAAUCAAUUACAGAAAUUUGAAAUAGUUGGGAAAUGUAGGCUCCAAGUGGCGGCCACACCCUC